UCUUCUUCUCGUUUCUUCUUUUCUUUCAUUCUUCUUUUGUUCUUCUAUUUCUGUGAAUCAGAGAUGAGUUUGAGAAUUUUGUUGAGAGAAUCAAUUCACGAGGAAGAACUGAUGUAGUAGAAAUUAUUACUGGUGGCGACGAGGAGCUGAUGGUGGUGUUGAUGUACUAUUUAGCAUAUUUAGGGUUUCUCGGAGAGAUGAUUAGAGUUCGAAUUAAAAAUGAAUUCAUGGGUUCUUGCUAGAACUAAAGAUGGGUUUUGUGAGUAAUAGUUAUGAAAAUGAAGAUGAAAUCAGAUAUUUGAGUAACCAGUUAAUUAGGGUUUAUGUGAUAUGAAUUUGGAAGUGAUAUUAAGAAGAAUUAGAAGAUGAAAUUGUGGUUUUAAAAGGUUGAUUUGAGAUGGGUUUUAAUCAGGUAAGAACUAGUAAUGUUUGCAUGAGUUUAAUUUCGAUUUCAGUUACUCAUGUUCUUCCCAAAAUUUGGAAAUUAGGGUUUCAGUGUUGAAGAUUGGGAAUUGAAUUCAAGUGAAGAGGAGAUUGAAUACAGUUGUCUGAGUAUUACCGAAUUGAGGUAAUGUUCUUAUCAUCAAAUUUAGUUUAGUUAUUCAUUUUAGUUUUGAGUUCUUAAUGUUGUGGGUGAUAUAAGAAUUGAGAAAGGGUUUAUUGUGGAUGUGAAAUUAUAAAUCACUGUUAGUGGUGGUGUUGAAUUACUCGAAAGAUUGUUAGGUUGCAGGGAGAAACAGAGCCGAUGGUGGUAAGAGAUUAAUCAGAUUAUGGAUAAUGGGUUUGUUGAUGAACUUGAGAUGUUAAUGUAUGAAUUGGAGUUGAACUGAAUUUGGAGGUAAUGGAGUUGGUUUGUUUGUGUGGGUUGUUAAGAAGAAAAUAUGUGUUAGAAUUAUGCAGGGUUGAGUUUUAUGAACUGAAAUGGGUUAGUUUGAUUGAAUUACAUUGAUUAAGGGUUUGGGAAUUGUUUCAAAUGGACUUGAAAUUGCAGGGCAUGUCAGGUUAACUAUGAAUGAAGGAUAUUGGUUGCUAAUAUGUAAUUGUAGGUAGAUGAAUUUGUAUUUAGUGGAAGCUGUGUAGAUUAAUGGAACUGCAGAUGUGUUCGGCUUCUACAGGACAUGGAUGUUACUUUAAAUGAAACUAGGAUUUAGUAUGUGUAUGUGUUAGUAUGACCUGGAAAUGGGAUUUGAUGUUGAGUCAAGAUCAUGGUGCUGAAUGAGAUGAAAUGAUGUUGCUGUUGAAGGACAGUUAGUUCUGGCAGUGAUGUUGAAGAGAAGUGAUAGUGUUGAACUGAGUUCAGUUGAAGUAGAUUCUGUUUUGGUUACAACUUGUAAGCGUGAGUGGAUGAUCAAGAUGUUGCUUAAAGCUGCAAUUGCAGUUAGUUAUUAACAACAAUCGAUUUAAAGGGCGAACCAGUGGAUCAUGGAUCUCGAGGUAGACGUGGCUUGUCGUCAAAAGAGUUUCAAUGACAGAUCAGAGUUGCGCAGCGAAAGCUUCAAGGGUUGUGUUCGCUAGUUGAUUAACUUCUUCUAUGUUUGUUAUAUUGUAAAUUCUAUUUGUAAACCAUAUGACUAUUAUCUAUGUAUUAUUUGAGAGAAGCAUUUGUAUAUAUAUAUAUUUCAGAGCGGGGCUAGUUUUGGGUUAAGAUUUAUAGCAGAUUUCUGAUUAAUAUU